GAGUUUGAUCCUGGCUCAGAAUCAACGCUGGCGGCGUGCCUAACACAUGCAAGUCGCACGAGAAAAGGGCUUCGGCCCUGAGUAAAGUGGCGCACGGGUGAGUAACACGUGACUAACCUACCCUCGAGUGGGGAAUAACCUAGAGAAAUCUGGGCUAAUACCGCAUAACACUUACGAGUCAAAGCAGCAAUGCGCUUGAGGAGGGGGUCGCGGCAGAUUAGUUAGUUGGCAGGGUAAUGGCCUACCAAGACGAUGAUCUGUAUCCGACCUGAGAGGGCGCACGGACACACUGGAACUGAAACACGGUCCAGACUCCUACGAGAGGCAGCAGUGGGGAAUUUUGCGCAAUGGGGGAAACCCUGACGCAGCAACGCCGCGUGGAGGAUGAAAUCCCUUGGGAUGUAAACUCCUUUCGAUAGGGAAGAUAAUGACGGUACCUAUAGAAGAAGCCCCGGCUAACUUCGUGCCAGCAGCCGCGGUAAUACG
rnacentral:rRNA from 1 species